rnacentral:rRNA from 1 species
UGCGUAGGCGGCGCGGUAAGUCGGGUGUGAAAUCUCGGAGCCUAACUCCGAAACUGCAUUCGAUACUGCCGUGCUUGAGGACUGGAGAGGAGACUGGAAUUUACGGUGUAGCGGUGAAAUGCGUAGAUAUCGUAAGGAAGACCAGUGGCGAAGGCGGGUCUCUGGACAGUUCCUGACGCUGAGGCACGAAGUGGAGGCAACG